AACGAACGCUGGCGGCAGGCUUAACACAUGCAAGUCGAACGCACCGCAAGGUGAGUGGCAGACGGGUGAGUAACGCGUGGGAACCUUCCCUUUGGUACGGAAUAACCUCGGGAAACCGAAGCUAAUACCGUAUAUCUCCUACGGGAGAAAGAUUUAUCGCCAAAGGAUGGGCCCGCGUUGGAUUAGCUAGUUGGCGUGGUAAUGGCGCACCAAGGCGACGAUCCAUAGCUGGUCUGAGAGGAUGAUCAGCCACACUGGGACUGAGACACGGCCCAGACUCCUACGGGAGGCAGCAGUGGGGAAUAUUGGACAAUGGGGGCAACCCUGAUCCAGCCAUGCCGCGUGAGUGAAGAAGGCCUUAGGGUUGUAAAGCUCUUUUGGCGGGGACGAUAAUGACGGUACCCGCAGAAUAAGCCCUGGCUAACUUCGUGCCAGCCGCCGCGGUAA
rnacentral:rRNA from 1 species